GAGGAGCACAAGAUAAGGACCAUUUUGGUGAGAACUGAGAAGAGCUCAAGCAUCUGCCCUUCCCAACAAGGCAAGGACAUGGCCAUGAUGUCUCCUUGCUAUCAACAUUCUUGUCCCCAAGACAGACUAGCAAGUCACAGCCCUGCAGAGUUUGUUGGUUUUUGUUAAAGAGAAUACCACUAUAAGGGAGAUGUGAGACCAUCUGCAUCCCAAAGAAUAAACAGGCAUUAGACAGAGAAGGACAAAAGGCCUCUGGUAAAGACAGUGGGAUGAUCAAAGGCAUUCAUGUCCAAAUUAUUCCACUGUGUUAAGUGUGCUCAGAAGAAAUAUUUGAGUGCAUCAAAAGAUGAGUGCUAUAGUAAGGAAGGAGGUAAGACUGAAGAAAAUAUGGAGACAUAAAUGCUCAACCAGCGUUACAUGCAGAAAGUGUACCUGGGCAUAAUGGUAGUGUCAAAGAAACAAGUUAGAAAUUGGUUGUGAUAAUGAAAGAGUGAGCUAGGGGGGAGUUAAGAAACAGGUGGGAGAAACAUUAGAGAAAUUACAGGGAGAGACAUUGCAAGUUAUGUAGGGUGGUUAGAAAUGGGU